ensembl:misc_RNA Metazoa_SRP Metazoan signal recognition particle RNA
GCCAGGUGUGGUGGUGCACACCUGUGAUCCCAGCUACUCAGGAGGCUGAGGCAGGAGAAUCACUUGAACCCAGGAGGUGGAGGUUGCAGUGAGCCUAGAUCUCACCACUACAUUUCAGCCUGGGUGACAGAGUGAGACCCUGUCUCAA